rnacentral:rRNA from 1 species
GACGAACGCUGGCGGCGUGCUUAACACAUGCAAGUCGUACGGUAAGGCCCUUUCGGGGGUACACGAGUGGCGAACGGGUGAGUAACACGUGAGUAACCUGCCCACAACUUUGGGAUAACGCUAGGAAACUGGUGCUAAUACUGGAUAUGUGCUCCUGCUGCAUGGUGGGGGUUGGAAAGCUCCGGCGGUUGUGGAUGGACUCGCGGUCUAUCAGCUUGUUGGUGGGGUAGUGGCCUACCAAGGCGGCGACGGGUAGCCGGCCUGAGAGGGUGACCGGCCACAUUGGGACUGAGAUACGGCCCAGACUCCUACGGGCGGCAGCAGUGGGGAAUAUUGCACUAUGGGCGCAAGCCUGAUGCAGCACCGCCGCGUGCGGGAUGACGGCCUUCGGGUUGUAAACCGCUUUCAGCAGGGACGAAGCUUUUUGUGACGGUACCUGCAGAAGAAGCACCGGCUAACUACGUG